ACAUGCAUACAACAUAGCCUUAAUGCACCAGACCCCAUUAGAACUCCGCAAUUAAGCGCGCUCAAGCUAGAGUAGUACUAGGAUGGGUGACUACUUGGGAAGUCCUUGUGUUUUACCUGUC
rfam:Picea glauca, whole genome shotgun sequence.